rnacentral:tRNA from 1 species
GCCCAAGUGGUGGAAUUGGUAGACACAAGGGACUUAAAAUCCCUUGGGCUUAAGGUCCGUGCCGGUUCAAGUCCGGCCUUGGGCA